rnacentral:rRNA from 1 species
AACGAACGCUGGCGGCAUGCCUAACACAUGCAAGUCGAACGAAGCCUUCGGGCUUAGUGGCGCACGGGUGCGUAACGCGUGGGAAUCUGCCCUUGGGUUCGGAAUAACAGUUAGAAAUGACUGCUAAUACCGGAUGAUGUCUUCGGACCAAAGAUUUAUCGCCCAAGGAUGAGCCCGCGUAGGAUUAGGUAGUUGGUGGGGUAAUGGCCCACCAAGCCGACGAUCCUUAGCUGGUCUGAGAGGAUGAUCAGCCACACUGGGACUGAGACAUGGCCCAGACUCCUACGGGAGGCAGCAGUGGGGAAUAUUGGACAAUGGGCGAAAGCCUGAUCCAGCAAUGCCGCGUGAGUGAUGAAGGCCUUAGGGUUGGAAAGCUCUUUUACCAGGGAUGAUAUGACAGUACCUGGAGAAUAAGCUCCGGCUAACUCCGUGCCAGCAGCAGCCGCAG